UACGGGGGGGGCAAGCGUUGUUCGGAAUUACUGGGCGUAAAGGGCUCGUAGGCGGCCAACUAAGUCAGACGUGAAAUCCCUCGGCUUAACCGGGGAACUGCAUCUGAUACUGGAUGGCUUGAGUUCGGGAGAGGGAUGCGGAAUUCCAGGUGUAGCGGUGAAAUGCGUAGAUAUCUGGAGGAACACCGGUGGCGAAGGCGGCAUCCUGGACCGGCACUGACGCUGAGGCACGAAAAGCGUGGGGAGCAAACAGG
rnacentral:rRNA from 1 species